UACGAGUACCUCGAGCGUUGUCCGGAUUUACUGGGCGUAAAGGGUGUCUAGGCGGUUGUGUUAGUCCGCUGUUAAAGACCGAGGCUUAACCUCGGGAAUGCGGCGGAAACGGCACAACUUGAGGAUGCGAGAGGUAAGCGGAACUCACGGUGUAGAGGUGAAAUUCGUUGAUAUCGUGGGGAACACCAAAAGCGAAGGCAGCUUACUGGCGCACUCCUGACGCUGAAACACGAAAGCCAGGGUAGCGAACGGG
rnacentral:misc_RNA from 1 species